GAUGAAGAACGCAGCGAAAUGCGAUACGUAAUGUGAAUUGCAGAAUUCAGUGAAUCAUCGAAUCUUUGAACGCAUAUUGCGCUCUCUGGUAUUCCGGAGAGCAUGCUUGUUUGAGUAUCAGUAAACACCUCAACUCCCUUUUCUUUUUUGAAAUUGGAGCUGGACUUGAGUGAUCCCAACGCUUUCUUCCAAGAAAGUGGCGGGUUGCUUGAAAUGCAGGUGCAGCUGAACUUUUCUCUGAGCUAUAAGCAUAUCUAUUUAGUCUGCCUAAAAAACAGAUUAUUACCUUUGCUGCAGCUAACAUAAAGGAGACUAGUUCUUGUGCUGACUGAUGCGGGAUUCACAGAGACAGCUUCGGCUGACUUUGUAAACUCGAUCUCAAAUCAAGUAAGACUACCCGCUGAACUUAAGCAUAUCAAUAAGCGGAGGA
rnacentral:misc_RNA from 1 species